UCCCACAUGGUCUAGUGGGCAGGAUUCCUGGUUUUCACCCAGGUGGCCUGGGUUCAGUUUCCAGUGUGGGAA